GACGAACGCUGGCGGCGUGCCUAAUGCAUGCAAGUAGAACGCUGAAGGAGGAGCUUGCUCUUCUGGAUGAGUUGCGAACGGGUGAGUAACGCGUAGGUAACCUGCCUGGUAGCGGGGGAUAACUAUUGGAAACGAUAGCUAAUACCGCAUAAGAGUAGAUGUUGCAUGACAUUUACUUAAAAGGUGCAAUUGCAUCACUACCAGAUGGACCUGCGUUGUAUUAGCUAGUUGGUGGGGUAACGGCUUACCAAGGCGACGAUACAUAGCCGACCUGAGAGGGUGAUCGGCCACACUGGGACUGAGACACGGCCCAGACUCCUACGGGAGGCAGCAGUAGGGAAUCUUCGGCAAUGGACGGAAGUCUGACCGAGCAACGACGCGUGAGUGAAGAAGGUUUUCGGAUCGUAAAGCUCUGUUGUAAGAGAAGAACGAGUGUGAGAGUGGAAAGUUCACACUGUGACGGUAUCUUACCAGAAAGGGACGGCUAACUACGUG
rnacentral:rRNA from 1 species